CAUUUAGAGGAAGUAAAAGUCGUAACAAGGUUUCCGUAGGUGAACCUGCGGAAGGAUCAUUAUCGUACAAGGCUGUCGCUGACCCUUAAGGUCGUGCACGCCCUGGCAUGUCCUCACAAAUCCACCUCACCCCUUUUGUGCAUCCCCGCGUGGGCCCCAAAGGGGGCCUGCGUUUUUCACACAGACAGUAUAGAAUGUCUUUUGCUUUAGUACGCAAUCAAUACAACUUUCAACAACGGAUCUCUUGGCUCUCGCAUCGAUGAAGAACGCAGCGAAAUGCGAUACGUAAUGUGAAUUGCAGAAUUCAGUGAAUCAUCGAAUCUUUGAACGCACCUUGCGCCCCUUGGCAUUCCGAGGGGCACACCCGUUUGAGUGUCGUGAAAUCCUCAACCUUCUCCCUUUUUUUGGGUUGGGGGAAAGGCUUGGACUUUGGAGGCUUUUUUGCUGGCCUCUUUCACUUGAAGCCAGCUCCUCUUAAAGGAAUUAGUGGGGUCCGCCUUUGCCGAUCCUUGACGUGAUAAGCUUUUUCUACUCGUCUUGAGAGGAGAAGCCCUGCUUCUAAUUGUCUCGUUGAGAACACGGGUGGUUUUGAAAGGUUUGCCCCUUUGACCCACCAAACCCCUUUUGACCUCAAAUCGGGUGAGACUACCCGCUGAACUUAAGCAUAUCAAUAAGCGGAGGAAAAGAAACUAACAAGGAUUCCCCUAGUAACUGCGAGUGAAGCGGGAAAAGCUCAAAUUUAAAAUCUGGGGUCUUUGGCCGUCCGAGUUGUAAUUAGAGAAGCGUCUUCCGCGCUGGA
rnacentral:sRNA from 1 species